rnacentral:rRNA from 1 species
AUUGAACGCUGGCGGCAGGCUUAACACAUGCAAGUCGAGCGGAGAUGAGGUGCUUGCACCUUAUCUUAGCGGCGGACGGAUGAGUAAUGCUUAGGAAUCUGCCUAUUAGUGGGGGACAACAUUCCGAAAGGAAUGCUAAUACCGCAUACGCCCUACGGGGGAAAGCAGGGGAUCUUCGGACCUUGCGCUAAUAGAUGAGCACAAGUCGGAUUAGCUAGUUGGUGGGGUAAAGGCCUACCAAGGCGACGAUCUGUAGCGGGUCUGAGAGGAUGAGCCGCCACACUGGGACGGAGACACGGCCCAGACUCCUACGGUAGGCAGCAGUGGGGAAUAUUGGACAAUGGGCGGAAGCCUGAUCCAGCCAUGCCGCGUGUGUGAAGAAGGCCUUUUGGUUGUAAAGCACUUUAAGCGAGGAGGAGGCUACCUGGAUUAAUACUCUAGGAUAGUGGACGUUACUCGCAGAAUAAGCACCGGCUAACUCUGUGCCAGCCGCCGCCGUAAAAC